CUUUAAUGUAUCUGCAACGUUUCGACCUGUUCCUAGGUCUUUAUCAAUCUAGCUUUAUAAAGACCUGGGUACAGGUCAAAAUGUUGUGGAUUCAUUAAAGCCUAGCUUGAUAAAGACCUGGGUACAGGUCGAAACGUUGCGGAUCCAUUAAAGCCUAGCUUGAUAAAGACCUGGGUACAGGUCGAAACGUUGCGGAUCCAUUAAAGCCUAGCUUGAUAAAGACCUGGUUACAGGUCGAAACGUUGCGGAUCCAUUAACGCCUAGCUUGAUAAAGACCUGGGUACAAGUCAAAACAUUGUGGAUCCAUUAAAGCUGCUUUAAACGUAUCACAGUGAGUGCCUGAGGUUUUUAUCGUUGAUAAAUGUUCUAUGGGGUAUGCUGACCAAUACUCUGUUAGCACCCUGUGAUUUUUAUGAUUGAGUGCAACCCUUUUUUCUUUUUUGGUAUCCAUAUAUGCUAUAAACCAUGUGUGCUGAGUAACUGAUAUGUAUCCCCUUUGAGAGUAGAUUGUCAGUGCCUCCACUCAACUCCUCCAACUCCCAUAUAAACUAAUUGAUUUUUCCAAA